rnacentral:tRNA from 1 species
AGGGGUGGAGCGCCCUGAGGCAGCGGUCUUGAAAACCGUCGUGGCAGCGAUGUCACCGUAGGUUCAAAUCCCACCGCCUCCG